GAAAUGCGAUAAGUAAUGUGAAUUGCAGAAUUCAGUGAAUCAUCGAAUCUUUGAACGCACCUUGCGCUCCUUGGUAUUCAUUGGAGCAUGCCUGUUUGAGUAUCAUGAAAUCUUCAAAGUAAAUCUUUUGUUAACUCAAUUGGUUUCUACUUUGGUAUUGGAGGUCUUUGCAGCUUCACACCUGCUCCUCUUUGUUCAUUAGCUGGAUCUCAGUGUUAUGCUUGGUUCCACUCGGCGUGAUAAGUUAUCUAUCGCUGAGGACACUGUAAAAGGUGGCCAAGGUAAAUGCAGAUGAACCGCUUCUAAUAGUCCAUUGACUUGGACAAUACUUUUAUGAUCUGAUCUCAAAUCAGGUAUUACUACCCGCUGAACUUGAGC
rnacentral:misc_RNA from 1 species